UGGCAAGUAGUUUAAGUAAAAUAAAUGAUUUCGACUCAUUAGAUUAUGAUAAUCAUACUAGCCAA
rnacentral:tRNA from 1 species